UACAGAGGUCCCAAGCGUUGUUCGGAUUCACUGGGCGUAAAGGGUGCGUAGGCGGUUUGAUAAGUCUGAUGUGAAAAUCCCGCAGCUUAACUGCGGAACUGCAUUGGAUACUGUUUGACUAGAGGAAUGGAGGGGGAGACUGGAAUACUUGGUGUAGCAGUGAAAUGCGUAGAUAUCAAGUGGAACACCAGUGGCGAAGGCGAGUCUCUGGACAUUUCCUGACGCUGAGGCACGAAAGCCAGGGGGAGCAAAACGGGAUUAGAACCGUCCUGU
rnacentral:rRNA from 1 species